rnacentral:lncRNA from 10 species
AAAGUGCCUGUAAAUAAACCCUGAGUGGGCAACAUGAAUGGCCGCAGACCAGACAAAAUGAGAAUCCAGUUAAACAAGUGCAUGAAAUAUGCCCCUUAGUCCACUCAGCCUGCAACACAAAAGCACAGAACAGGCAGCUUCUAAACCACAGACAUUGACUUCCGUUCUGGAGGCCGGAAGUCCAAGAUGGAGGGUCCCGCAGAUUCCGUGUCUGGUCUUUUUCUACAGAAACAUUGGCAAAAUCAUCUUCAUUGUUCAUAGAUUGUUGCAGCAGAUCCAACUGAAGGAUACACCAACCAUUUUAAUCGGACACAAAAGAACAGGCUGUCCUCACCUGACCACCACCCACAACAACCGAACUUUAAUCAGACACAAAAGAACAGGCUGUCACCUGACCACCACCCACAACAACCGAAGGGCAGGGUGAGUCCAUUUAGAGUCUCGAGAAUUUCAGACGUGCAUUCACUUUAAAGCAGGGCUCAGGACCAUGACCCCAGGCUGAGGACUGAGGGUAAAGUGCCACUUGCCACAUGGGGCCUCCGGGGGAAGUCGGGAAGAAACCUGCACAAGGAUGAGACCGUCCCCCAGCAGGACUCCAGGACUCCAUCCCCAGGGCCAUGGCCACCCCAGGGCCAUGCAUGCCCAGAAACACCCUCCAUUCCCUGCAGGCAGGAACAGCAGGUGCAGCUCCUCUGCCUGCCAGCUUUGGGACCUCUAGGACUGACCGCUUCCUGUCUGGACACCAGUCCUGUAAUGCUCUCAUCCUUGCUGUCUGAG